rnacentral:rRNA from 1 species
AUUGAACGCUGGCGGCAGGCUUGACACAUGCAAGUCGAGCGGGGGAAGGUAGCUUGCUACCGGACCUAGCGGCGGACGGGUGAGUAAUGCUUAGGAAUCUGCCGAUUAGUGGGGGACAACAUCUAGAAAGGGAUGCUAAUACCGCAUACGUCCUACGGGAGAAAGCAGGGGAUGUUCGGACCUUGCGCUAAUAGAUGAGCCUAAGUCGGAUUAGCUAGUUGGUGGGGUAAAGGCCGACCAAGGCGACGAUCUGUAGCGGGUCUGAGAGGAUGAUCCGCCACACUGUGACUGAGACACGGCCCAGACUCCUACGGGAGGCAGCAGUGGGGUAUAUUGGACAAUGGGGGGAACCCUGAUCCAGCCAUGCCGCGUGUGUGAAGAAGGCCUUAUGGUUGUAAAGCACUUUAAGCGAGGAGGAGGCUACUUUAGUUAAUACCUAGAGAUAGUGGACGUUACUCGCAGAAUAAGCACCGGCUAACUCUGUGCCAGCCGCCGCAGUAA